ACGUUGCAGGGAUACGGCAGUGAGGUGCCGUAUCGGUGCAAAAUACUGCACCAGGACGGGGAUACGCUCCGAUACGCGCCGAUACGCGUAUCCCAAAGUAUCCCAUUUUUAUCUAAUUUAAAAUAAACAAAGAAAUUCUGAGAACGGCUGGGACACGCGGGGAUACACCAGGAUACGUACAGGCUUGUUGCUACUCGAUCCACAGCCCAUGAGAAGGCCUACCCAAUGCAUGAUAAAACCUAACCGUAUGGAAUCCUCUCGCCAUCGCCUCGCAGUUGCCACAUCGCUAGAACUCUGGCGCAUCUGGAACUCCAUCUCGCCGCCGCCGGCAGCGCCUCGCCGAUCUUCUAGUCGUCGUCAUUCGUCCAGCUUGGAGAAUCUGUACGCAAGGAAUGGCGUCUAGGUCGAGCAGUCAAUCCUCUGUUGCUCGUUCUAGGACGACUAGGUCUGGAAGUAACACCGCUGAUGGAUCCGAAGACAACGAGUAUACUGAUCCUUUCUACCCCCUAUGGAGGGCAUAUUCUUUCAUCUAUAGCUUGAAGAGAAAUAUGAUGACCACCAAACGAGCUGAGGAUUUGGUGAUUGUGCAUAACAACUUGCGUCUGAAGCAUCUGGAGCUUGACGAACCAUCUGAAGCUUGACCUUUUCAACUUAGCACAUCUAUUUCAUAUUUUUGUUCCACAUUAUCCUUGUUUAAUUUGUAAUUCACUAUUGAAUUUUUGCAUGCAUUUAUACAUAUACUUCCGUA